UGCACACAAAAAGAAAUUUAAAAUAAAAAUGGCUUAAAAUAGAAAGUUAUUCACAAAGUCCAGAGGUAAGUGCUUGAUAUGACUUGGCUGUGUCCCCACCCAAAUUUCAUCUUGAAUUGUAGUUCCCAUAAUCCCCAAGUGUCAUGGGAGGAAUCUGGUAGGAAGUAAUUGAAACAUGGGGCAGUUACCCCAAUGCUGCUAUUCUGAUAGUGAUUGAGAAUGAGUUCUCACAAGAUGUGAUGGUUUUAUAAUGCUAUCUCCCUUUUGCUCAUUCUUCUUUUUGCUGCUGCAAUGUGAAGAAGGGUGUGUUUGCUUCCCCUUCCACCAUGACUGUAAGCUUCCUGAGGCCUCCCCAGUCAUGCUGAACUACUGGGGACCACUAAGCCAUCUUAGAAGCCAUGUCUUGAAAAUGUCAGUGCUUUCUUCAACCCAGAUCCCUAAAUGACGAGUGGAGAGUAGCUUCCCUAACCUGCAUCCCCUUCUGCCCACCUAAAACUGCUCAGGAUAGUUGAUAUCAACAAGAAAAGCUGCUUCAUUGUGUUGAGUCAUUGUGUAUUUUUGUGUUAAUUUGUAACAGUAGCUAACAUUUCCCUAAUAAAUUCAGAGUAUAUCUUG